CCUACGGGGAGCAGCAGUGGGGAAUAUUGGACAAUGGGCGAAAGCCUGAUCCAGCCAUGCCGCGUGUGUGAAGAAGGCCUUCGGGUUGUAAAGCACUUUCAGUGGGGAAGAAAGCCUUGGGGCUAAUACCCUCGAGGAAGGACAUCACCCACAGAAGAAGCACCGGCUAAGUCCGUGCCAGCAGCCGCGGUAAUACGGAGGGUGCGAGCGUUAAUCGGAAUUACUGGGCGUAAAGCGCGCGUAGGCGGUCUGAUAAGCCGGUUGUGAAAGCCCCGGGCUCAACCUGGGAACGGCAUCCGGAACUGUCAGGCUAGAGUGCAGGAGAGGAAGGUAGAAUUCCCGGUGUAGCGGUGAAAUGCGUAGAGAUCGGGAGGAAUACCAGUGGCGAAGGCGGCCUUCUGGACUGACACUGACGCUGAGGUGCGAAAGCGUGGGUAGCAAACAGGAUUAGAUACCCCGGUAGUC
rnacentral:rRNA from 1 species